GGAGGCUGGAAUGUGGUCUGUGGUGCUGCCCUCUGUGGCUCUCUGUGGAUCUGGUGGAAGGUCUUCACCACGCAGUGUGGAUGGACAUUGAUGAGAGAAGGCAAAGAACCAUGGCAGUGUCUCCCUCCAGUGUGAUACUG
rnacentral:lncRNA from 1 species